GUGAUUGCCAUCUUGGCUUAAACUUAUAUCCAUCUACACCUGUGAACUGUUUGAUUGAAUCUUUACCGAUUCAAUUCUUUUACAAACAUUGUGUAAUGAACGUCAUUAGAUCAUAACAAAAA
rnacentral:misc_RNA from 1 species